rnacentral:lncRNA from 1 species
AACUCGAGCCUAAAAUUAGCCCCUUCCUGGCCCGGACCCGCUGCCCGUUGUGGACCAGAGAGACACCAAAUCUCCGGCUUUGCCCCCCCCCCAAGCCCUCGCCCUCCCUCCCGGUGUGCCGUGCCGGUUAACCCCCCCCGGCGGUUCCCCACGGACACCCGUGAUGUCCUCUCCUCAUCCCUCCUCUCCUCAUCUCUCCUCCUCCUCUCCUCUCCUCACGGCCGCGCUCCCUGCGAACCAAGAUGGCGCCUCACACACCCCUGUCCCAGCAGAUGCUGCUGCGGGGCACCGCCGCCUCCCCCCCAAAACACGGGCAGAUGGCACCCCGGGGUGUGUGCGAUUCAAGCCGCGAAACGUGGAAAACCCUGGCGAAAUUUUUUUUUAAAAAAACCCAAACUAAUUUUUUUUUUUUUAAUUUUUUUUUUUCCCAGCACGAACAAAAGUGAUCGUGAUGGAAAACACAAACAGCGGCGUCUCCCCGAGCCGGGACAGCGGAACCUCCCCCGGCGUUUCCCCGGGGACUCUGUGUUGUGUUUGGGGGGGACACGGACACGCUCGGGGGGGGGGGGGGGGCCGCUGCCUUAUCGCCCCCCCCAAAUCCCGGGGUCGGGGCUUGUUGUCGCGGCGGGGCCUGGCGAGCCUCCGCGGGAGGAAGCGGCCCUCACCACUGGGGGGGGGGGGGGGGGGGGGGGGGGGGGGGAGAGAUUUAAGGUGGCGCGGGGCUGUGCCGGGCCGCGCCUUCUGCCUGCGCGGCGGGAGGAAUUUUUUAAAUUUUAUUCCCCCCCCACCCCCUUCCUCCUCCUCCUCCUCUUCCUCCUCCUCGUCGCAGCGUUUCCUCCUCGGGCGGCUGGAGGCAACCUUGCCUCGCUGCUUCCCCUCCGCCUGACGCGCCGCUCCCCGGGACCCGCCGGGGACAGGGGAAGGGGGGGGACGGGGGGGGGGGAAACGGGGGAAGGGGGGGGGAGGGAGGGAGGAGCCAACGGCUGGGGGGGGGUGGUGGUGUUAAGCCCCGCCCCACCCCGCCCCGCCCUGACUGAUGCAAUAGGCGCGGCGGCGGGAGCGCGCGCGCGCCGCCCGCCCUCCCGCCCUCCCUGCCGGCGGUCACGCGUCCACGCGGAUGUGCGCACGCUCGCACGCGCGCCCCCCCUCCCC